rnacentral:rRNA from 1 species
UACAGAGGUCCCAAGCGUUGUUCGGAUUCAUUGGGCGUAAAGGGUGCGUAGGCGGCGCGGUAAGUCGGGUGUGAAAUCUCGGAGCUUAACUCCGAAACUGCAUUCGAUACUGCCGUGCUUGAGGACUGGAGAGGAGACUGGAAUUUACGGUGUAGCGGUGAAAUGCGUAGAUAUCGUAAGGAAGACCAGUGGCGAAGGCGGGUCUCUGGACAGUUCCUGACGUGAGGCACGAAGGCCAGGGGAGCAAACGGGG